AUUGCCGACGGCCAAGAAGUAGAUGUCUCAAACAAGAAGAAAAGAAGAGCUGGUCGAAAGAGAAAAGAGUUGGAUUUUGCAAGGACCUCAACAAUCCCACUAAAUAUAAGAAGGACAAUUCGAUCUGUGGCACGGUCUCUAGGUGUGGCCCGAUUGACCCUACAUAAGAGGUCUAGUUGA
rnacentral:rRNA from 1 species